GAUGAACGCUGGCGGCGUGCCUAAUACAUGCAAGUCGAGCGAACAGACGAGGAGCUUGCUCCUCUGACGUUAGCGGCGGACGGGUGAGUAACACGUGGAUAACCUACCUAUAAGACUGGGAUAACUUCGGGAAACCGGAGCUAAUACCGGAUAAUAUAUUGAACCGCAUGGUUCAAUAGUGAAAGACGGUUUUGCUGUCACUUAUAGAUGGAUCCGCGCCGCAUUAGCUAGUUGGUAAGGUAACGGCUUACCAAGGCGACGAUGCGUAGCCGACCUGAGAGGGUGAUCGGCCACACUGGAACUGAGACACGGUCCAGACUCCUACGGGAGGCAGCAGUAGGGAAUCUUCCGCAAUGGGCGAAAGCCUGACGGAGCAACGCCGCGUGAGUGAUGAAGGUCUUCGGAUCGUAAAACUCUGUUAUUAGGGAAGAACAAAUGUGUAAGUAACUAUGCUCGUCUUGACGGUACCUAAUCAGAAAGCCACGGCUAACUACGUG
rnacentral:rRNA from 1 species